rnacentral:rRNA from 1 species
UGGGGAAUAUUGCACAAUGGAGGGAACUCUGAUGCAGCGACGCCGCGUGAGUGAUGAAGGAAUUCGUUUCGUAAAACUCUGUUCUAUGGGAAGAAAAGGACUGUACCAUAGGAGAAAGCUCCGGCUAAAUACGUGCCAGCAGCCGCGGUAAUACGUAUGGAGCGAGCGUUGUCCGGAAUUAUUGGGCGUAAAGGGUGCGCAGGCGGCUUUACAAGUUGGAUGUGAAAUAUUGUGGCUCAACCACAAACGUGCAUCCAAAACUGCAAAGCUUGAGUUAAGGAGAGGUAAGUGGAAUUCCUGGUGUAGCGGUGGAAUGCGUAGAUAUCAGGAGGAAUACCGGUGGCGGAGGCGACUUACUGGACUUAAGCUGACGCUCAGGCACGAAAGCGUGGGGAGCAAACAGG